rnacentral:rRNA from 1 species
GGGUGAGUAAUGUCUGGGAAACUGCCUGAUGGAGGGGGAUAACUACUGGAAACGGUAGCUAAUACCGCAUAACGUCGCAAGACCAAAGAGGGGGACCUUCGGGCCUCUUGCCAUCAGAUGUGCCCAGAUGGGAUUAGCUAGUAGGUGGGGUAACGGCUCACCUAGGCGACGAUCCCUAGCUGGUCUGAGAGGAUGACCAGCCACACUGGAACUGAGACACGGUCCAGACUCCUACGGGAGGCAGCAGUGGGGAAUAUUGCACAAUGGGCGCAAGCCUGAUGCAGCCAUGCCGCGUGUAUGAAGAAGGCCUUCGGGUUGUAAAGUACUUUCAGCGAGGAGGAAGGCAUUAAGGUUAAUAACCUUGGUGAUUGACGUUACUCGCAGAAGAAGCACCGGCUAACUCCGUGCCAGCAGCCGCGGUAAUACGGAGGGUGCAAGCGUUAAUCGGAAUUACUGGGCGUAAAGCGCACGCAGGCGGUCUGUCAAGUCGGAUGUGAAAUCCCCGGGCUCAACCUGGGAACUGCAUUCGAAACUGGCAGGCUAGAGUCUUGUAGAGGGGGGUAGAAUUCCAGGUGUAGCGGUGAAAUGCGUAGAGAUCUGGAGGAAUACCGGUGGCGAAGGCGGCCCCCUGGACAAAGACUGACGCUC